GGUGCUUGGAGACAUGAGUUUCUGAAGAACUACUUGUUUCCUUCUGUAUAUAAGGUGCUUAUUCUCUGUAAUGGUACUUUUCAGCCUUCUUCAUUUUACUCUGUAAAUGAGUUAAGGGUCUGCAGCACUAGUGCACGACUGAAUAUUUUCAUGCAUAAAUAUUUAUUUUUUGUGAAAGGAAGUUUAGGUAAGUUGGGUCUAUGCAAGAAUGUUGUUUACCUGAUCUCACAGAUAAGAGGCUUGUGGAAACAAUAAUUUUCUUGGUGUAUGCAGAGAAAUGGGAUGCUUUCCCCUAAAUUCUUGCUUCUGGAUGUAAGCAAUUUUGUUUCUAGGAUUUCUUCAAUAAGGGGAGGUAUACACACACACAAUUAAUUGUAGAUUUCUUCUUAGUAAUAAAUGCAUUUACACAAAUUUGAAACACCUUAACUUUUCAUCUCUUUGCUUGUGAAUAUAAAUAGGCUGCUUCUCCAUGAAUGUACUUAUGUGAAACUUUGAUUAGUCCAUUGGAUGAAGAUAUUGUUUGGUAUUUUGCAAUCUCAUGAUCUUAACACGUAAUUCUAAUAUAGCAAAUUGGCCCCUCCUGUUGUUCUGCUGAGAAAAGGUGAUAUGAUUUAUUGUGUAGGAAUAAUCCUUUGGUGCUUGAUCAAUUGAGACAUGACGCUGCUCUGAAAGUUGAAAGUUUACUUUGUUUUGGAAUCUGGCAAAUGAGAAAUUGAUAACUCCCCAUAUGGAGUAUAACUGUGAUACGAUAAGAGAAGACUUCUUUUCAUUAACUUAACUCGUGAUACUUGUAAAAAAAAUACUCGUUUUCUUAUCACCGAUGUGUUUUUUGGGUUUAUUCAAACCAUUUAAUAGAGUCUGAUUGCACAAACCAUUAAAGUUUGACAUCUUUUUUUGGUGAACUAAACUAUAAUAUCUGGUGUGUUCUGAGUUUUGUAUCUUGCAUGCUAAGAUAAACGUUUGUUUUAAAAGAAGGGUAAUUGAUUUAUUACGGUUUAAAUAUUAAUAAUGUUUACUUUUAUUUAUCAAGAGAAAAACUUGCAUGUAAUAAAAGUUGGACUCAGAUUAACAAUUUUGUGCUAGAGUCUAUAUUAUGCAUUCAUUGAUUACAAUGUUUAUACAUUCAGCAGGCCCUAACUAUAUGAUGAAAUUACUAAUCUCAUGGAAUCCAUUUAGUAAUACACUCGAAGGCAUGCAUUGAAAGGGGACAAGUGACUUGAAGAAAGCAAAACUGCAAAAUAGCAGCGCAAGGAUGUUUUUGUAGGAAAGUUUCAGAUAUGUGCCUGGCACCUAUCACAGGUUAGAUUUCUAUAGAUUGUUAGAUUUUGUGUCUUAUUUGCACAUGUGGGAAUUGGGAUGAAUGUCAAAUAUUAUAGCAUCAUUUAUGAGCUACAUCUCUAGGAAAGAGGAAAAUGUAAUUUAUUGUUAGCUGCAUGCGAACACAGAAAACCUAUUUGUCAAUUAACUGUUUUUUCUAUUUCUGUGGUCGGAAUGAAGCUGGCAAUGGUAACCAGGAAAUGCAAAUAUUUAUGUCCAUAAUAUACUUCUCUCUAUUUCUGUGGCCGGAGUUUGAAUAAAAUAUGUCAGCACAAUCGCCGACUACCUUUUUAUAAUUUUGUUGUAGCCUUGUAGGCCUCCCAAACUAUUAACCUCUCAUACAUAUAGAUUUCAAAUUAAUACAUUUAUGUUAAGAAAUAUUAAUAUAUUUACCUCAGC
rnacentral:lncRNA from 1 species